UGCGCCCGCGGCUCAGGUCGGCCAGCUGGCUUUGCAGGGUGGCGAUCUGGCUUUCACCCAGGGCCAGUUGCAGUUCCACGCCGUUGGCCGUGA
rnacentral:tRNA from 1 species